AAUUUUAUAUAAAAUUUUAUUUUAAUUUAUUUAUUUAAUUAAUUAUUUUAAUAAAAAUAUUUAAAAAAUUUUUUGUUUAAUUAAUAUAAAAAGAAUAAAUUUUAUUAAAUAUAAUGAUAUUGUAUUGUAAAAGAAUAUUUAAUUAAUAAAAAAUAUAAAUUAAUUUUUAUACCUUUUGUAUCAGGGUUUAUUAAAAUUUAAUUAUUAAUUUUAAUUAUCUCGAAAAUAAAAGAUUUAUUUAAAUAAUUAUUUUUAUGUAAUAUUAUAAUUUAAAAUAUUUAAAUAGAAAUGAAAAGUUAUUCGUUUUUAUAGAUAUCUAGUUAUUUAAAAGAUGAAUUUAAUUCAGAUAAAUUUUAUUUAUUAUAUAUUUAUAUAAAAUUAUAAUAAAAUAAAUUUAUUAAUAAGUUAUGGGAUAAUCUAUAAUUUUUAUAUAAUUUAUAUUGAUUAUUUUUAUAAAUGGAUAUAAAAUUAAUUUAUUUUAGUAAAAAUUUAAUAAUUUAUAAUAAUUAAUUAAUAUUUUUAAAUUAAAUAUAUUUUAAAUAUUAAAUAUAAUUAAUUAAUUUAAUAUUAAUUUAUAUAAUGAUAAAAUUAGUAUAAUUUAAUGUAAAUAUAAUAAUUAUUUAUAAUUAUAAUUAUUUUAGGAAUUAGGCAAAUAAUAUAUUCACCUGUUUAUCAAAAACAUGUCUUUUUGUUUAAUAAUUUAAAGUCUAUUCUGCCCAUUGAUAAAAUUAAAAGGCUGCAGUAUUUUGACUGUACAAAGGUAGCAUAAUCAAUAGUUUUUUAAUUGAAAACUAGAAUGAAUGAGUUAAUGAAAUAUAAUCUGUCUUAAUUAAUAUUAUUGAAUUUUGAAUUUAAGUUAAAAUUCUUAAAUAUAAUUAAGGGACGAGAAGACCCUAUAGAAUUUAAUUAAUUUAUUAUAUAUUUAUAAUUAAUAUUUUUAAUUAUAUUAUAAUUAAUUUAAUUGGGAGGAUUUUUAAAUUUAAUUAACUUUAAUAUUUAAUAUUCAAUAAUUAUUGUAUUAAUAAAGAAUAUUUAUUAAAUAAUAUUAGAUUAAAUUACCUUAGGGAUAACAGCGUAAUAUUUUUGGAAAGAUCAAAUUUAUAAAAAUGAUUGCGACCUCGAUGUUGAAUUAAGAUAAAUUUUAAGUGCAGUAAUUUAAUAAUUAAGUCUGUUCGACUUUUAAAAUCUUACAUGAUUUGAGUUCAGAUCGGUGUGAGCCAGAUCGGUUUCUAUCUUUAAUAAAAUUAAAUAUUUUUGUACGAAAGGACUAAAUAUUUUAAAUAAUUUAAAUUAUUUUAUAAUUACUUUG
rnacentral:rRNA from 1 species